AACGGUCUAUACCUGCGGUACCUGCGGAAGGAUCAUUAUCGAAAUCCACCGGGGAAGCGUGGACCGGGGAAAGGAAUCGAGCGGGCGAAGUUUGGUUCGGAGGUUGUCGCUGGCCCCCCUCGGGCAUGUGCACGCCUCCGCCUUAGUCCCCGUUCCCUUUCUCCUUCGCGCGGACUCGUUCUCACACACACCCGUGCACCCGUUGUAGGCUUCCUCGAAAGGGGACGCCUACGUCUUUCA
rnacentral:misc_RNA from 1 species